rnacentral:pre_miRNA from 1 species
UUAACUAAAAUUUGUGUGCAGUUGGAACAGCGCCCCUAGCAACAAACGUAGGCAAAAGUUGCAACUCCAUACAAAUUUGAGUUA